rnacentral:lncRNA from 1 species
UCAUAUGAGGGGUAACCAAAUUGUUAUCAACGAGAUCCGGAGAAUUAUUUUUGAAGUUGGGACGAGACAAAUCAAAAAGGAAAAAUGAAAAUAAACAUUGCCAUUUUUAUUUGUUUUUAAACUACCAAAUUGUUAUCAACGAGAUCCGGAGAAUUAUUUUUGAAGUUGGGACGAGACAAAUCAAAAAGGAAAAAUGAAAAUAAACAUUGCCAUUUUUAUUUGUU